rnacentral:rRNA from 1 species
CCUACGGGCGACAGCAGUCGAGAAUCAUUCACAAUGGGGGAAACCCUGAUGGGGCGACGCCGCGUGGGGGAAUGAAGGUCUGCGGAUUGUAAACCCCUGUCAUGUGGGAGCAAAUUAAAAAGAUAGUACCACAAGAGGAAGAGACGGCGAACUCUGUGCCAGCAGCCGCGGUAAGACAGAGGUCUCAAGCGUUGUUCGGAAUCACUGGGCGUAAAGCGUGCGUAGGCUGUUUCGUAAGUCGUGUGUGAAAGGCGCGGGCUCAACCCGCGGACGGCACAUGAGACGGCGAGACGAGGGUAAUGGAUGGGGAACCGGCAUUCUCGGUGUAGCCGU